GGCUCCGUUGCUUAAUGGUUACGGCUUCUGCCUCACAAGCAGAAGGUUCAGGGAUCAAAUCCCGGCCGGUACCU
rnacentral:tRNA from 1 species